rnacentral:rRNA from 1 species
UGGGGAAUUUUGGACAAUGGGGGCAACCCUGAUCCAGCCAUGCCGCGUGAGUGAAGAAGGCCUUCGGGUUGUAAAGCUCUUUCGGCCGGGAAGAAAUCGCAUGGGUUAAUACCCUGUGUGGAUGACGGUACCGGCAUAAGAAGCACCGGCUAACUACGUGCCAGCAGCCGCGGUAAUACGUAGGGUGCGAGCGUUAAUCGGAAUUACUGGGCGUAAAGCGUGCGCAGGCGGUUUGGUAAGACAGGCGUGAAAUCCCCGGGCUCAACCUGGGAACUGCGCUUGUGACUGCCUCACUAGAGUACGGCAGAGGGGGGUGGAAUUCCACGUGUAGCAGUGAAAUGCGUAGAGAUGUGGAGGAACACCGAUGGCGAAGGCAGCCCCCUGGGCCGAUACUGACGCUCAUGCACGAAAGCGUGGGUAGCAAACAGG